UCUGGAGCCAGCCUGUAGUCAAC
rnacentral:misc_RNA from 1 species